GAUGCCCACUGAGCAAUAAGGGGCACCGGGGACACCGAAGCGCCCGGCUCUACGCUCCCGGAGAGGGUGAGAGACCAGGGACGCUCCCGGGGACAGCAUGAGGUGAAGCCAGGCGAAACCCACACCACCAGGGACGAGGAGUGAAUCACCACGGCAAUCACCAGCACCACUGCACAGGCUGCAGCUAGCUUCCGGAAGCCGCCGGUACCGCUUCAGGAAUUUUCCCGAACGUUCCGGUUGCACAGGCGCAGAAGAGACGGGAAGAGGGGCCAGAGCCGGGCGGUGAAUAGGAGAUUUUCUGCCGGACUCCCACAGGAUCUCAUGUAGUUCAUACUGGGCUCAUUUUUUGCUGUACUCCUUUACUUAGCCUUGGCUCAGAGCCCAAUUUGGCUUUGGAAGUCUUACAUGUCUGCCUCAUUCUCCCAAGUGCUGGGAUUACAGGAUGCACUGAGUUUUACCAAGGUCAUGUGUCAAUUCUUUUUUUUUAUAUAUUGGAUAUUUUAUUUACAUUUUAGAUGCUAUCCCCUUUCCCCAUUCCCCCCCACCCAAAAACCCCCAUCU